AUGGCCACCUGCCUCUCUGAUAUGAUUAGUGACCAUUCCCUAGAUUUCCUGGGUCUUCAAGAAACCAUGAAGAAAGAGUUCACUCCUAAAUUUUUAAGGAGAAUAGACCCCUGUGACCAAUUCAAAUGGAACUGGAUUCCAUCUGAAGGAAAACCAGGAGGCAUCUUGUGUGGGGUUCGUCAUGAUACUCUGGAUAUUGUGUCUUGCAACAAGGGCAAGUACAUUCUCCAAGUUAUCCUUAGUGACAAAAAAAUGAAUUGGGGUCUGUUGGUGGUCUAUGGGUCAGUCCACGAGGAAUUUAAGGAGGAAUUCUUGCUUGAAUUGGCUACCAUGUGCUGUAGUAUGCAAAUUCCUUAUAUAGUGGGCGGGGACUUCAAUAUUCUUAGACACUCAGGAGAUAAGAACAAAAAGAUGGCGAACCAUAAAUCCACAGACCUCUUUAAUUCCAUCAUCAAUACCCUAGCCCUCAAAGAAAUUCAUAUUAGCGGAGGCAAGUACACUUGGACUAAUAACCAGGCUCAUCCAACCCUGGAAAAACUUGACCGCAUUCUGAUGUCAGAGAGCUGGGAGGACUUAUUUCCCCUAGUCCCGGUCAAAAAAUUGGUGCGGGAAAUUUCAGACCACAAUCCCUUAUUGCUUUCAUAG
rnacentral:rRNA from 1 species